AUGAGCGAGGAGAAUGGCGGCGUCAACGGCCAGCAGCUGAACGAGACCGAUCUGAACUCGCCGUGGGACUACGUGGGGCACGGCACGCACACGCUGUCCACGGCUGGCGGCGGCUUCGUGCCCAACGUGGGCCCCUUCGGCCGCGGGACGGGCACGGCCAAGGGCGGCUCGCCGCGGGCGCACGUGGCCUCGUACAAGGCGUGCUUCGCGCCAGGGUGCUCCGACCUGGACAUCCUCAUGGCCAUACUCACCGCGGUGGCGGAUGGCGUGCAGGUGCUCUCGCUCUCCCUCGGCGCCCCGGCAACCGACUAUCUCUCCGACAUGAUGGCGAUUGGCACGGCGUUUGCAGUCACCCAGGAGGUUGUCGUCGUCGCCGCUGCCGGCAACUCGGGCCCGGUGGCAGGCUCGGUCACCAAUGUGGCUCCGUGGAUGCUCACGGUCGGUGCGAGCACCAUGGACAGAAUCUUCCCCGCCGAUGUCGUCAUCGGUGCCAAGACUAUCACGGGACAAAGUCUAUCAAACAGCACUCUGCCUGCCAACGAGCCAAUUGAGAUGAUCAGCGGGGAGAAGGCCAAUUCUGCAGGACAAUCUGUAGCCAACUCGGUGCUGUGCUUGCCGGGCUCACUGGACCGUGCCAAGGUGGCGGGCAAGAUAGUUGUGUGCACAGGAGCGAGAGGCCGAGCCGCCAAGGGGCAGGUGGUGAAGCAGGCCGGCGGCGUCGGCAUGGUACUCUGCAACGACGCCGCCAGCGGAGCCAGCAUCAUCACCGACCCGCAUAUCAUCCCGACGGCUCACUGCUCCUACUCCCAGUGCCAGGAGAUCUUCAACUACCUCCAGUCCACCGGAUCGCCGGUGGGUUACAUCAAGAUGAGGGACGCAGAGGUGGGUGUGAAGCCAUCGCCGGUGAUGGCAGCAUUCUCAUCCCGUGGGCCCAACACCAUCACCCCUCAAAUCCUCAAGCCUGACAUCACGGCGCCAGGUGUGGGCGUGAUCGCCGCUGUAAGUCAGGAGGUCUCACCAACCGGCCUGCUUUCCGAUGGCCGCCGUGUCCCCUACAGCGUAAUGACCGGAACCUCCAUGGCGUGCCCUCACGUGGCAGGAAUCGCCGGCCUGCUCAGGGCGAGGUACCCGAAAUGGGGCCCUCCCAUGAUCUAUUCCGCUAUCAUGACCACCGGUACGCAAUUCUGCCAUAAAACGGCAAAUUUGA
rnacentral:rRNA from 1 species